rnacentral:rRNA from 1 species
UACGUAGGGGGCAAGCGUUGUCCGGAAUCAUUGGGCGUAAAGCGCGUGUAGGCGGCCCGAUAAGUCCGCUGUGAAAGUCCAGGGCUCAACCCUGGGAUGCCGGUGGAUACUGUCGGGCUCGAGUCCGGAAGAGGAGUGUGGAAUUCCUGGUGUAGCGGUGAAAUGCGCAGAUAUCAGGAGGAACACCAAUGGCGAAGGCAGCACUCUGGGACGUGACUGACGCUGAGACGCGGAAAGCGUGGGGGAGCGAACAGG